GACGAACGCUGGCGGCGUGCUUAACACAUGCAAGUCGAACGGAAAGGCCCUGCUUUUGUGGGGUGCUCGAGUGGCGAACGGGUGAGUAACACGUGAGUAACCUGCCCUUGCCUUUGGGAUAACUUCAGGAAACUGGGGCUAAUACCGGAUAGGAGCUCCUGCUGCAUGGUGGGGGUUGGAAAGUUUCGGCGGUUGGGGAUGGACUCGCGGCUUAUCAGCUUGUUGGUGGGGUAGUGGUUUACCAAGGCUUUGACGGGUAGCCGGCCUGAGAGGGGGACCGGGGCCCAUGGGACUGAGGUAGGGACCAGAAGGCAAACGGACGCAAGAGAGGGGAAUAUUACGCAACGGGGCGGAGGCUGUGAAGAAGACGCCCGGAUCGGGAAGAUCGGCUUUGGGAUAAAAACCGCUUUCGCCUGUGACGAAGCGUGAGUGACGGUAAUGGGUAAAGAAGCACCGGCUAACUACGUG
rnacentral:rRNA from 1 species